GGUAACAGAAAAUCGUCGUGGAUAAGUAACAUAAACACCUAAAAAAUAGAGAUCCCGCUUGGGUAUUUUUAAAACACAACUCAUCGAACUAAAAAAACGUCAUCUUAUUAAAAAGGUUUUCUAAAAUAAUGACAGCAGGUAUGAAGCCACUGACGUAGAAAGUUAAGACGACGGUUUACCAAAACAGCCGCCAUGUUAACUCCUAAAUAAACACGAC
rnacentral:lncRNA from 1 species